CUUUGAAUACCAUUCGCCCAAUGUUGGUAAAAAGCCAUGGGGCAUGAUUUUGUUAGACAAACUUAUUUUGCCCGCUCUUUGGGUUUCUUUUAAUUAUGUGGCUGACAAAGGACUAAGAAGCACUCACUACACAAUGUGAAUUUAAGUAAAUGAAGCUUUUGGGAAACCUCUUUUAAAGGGAGUGGAAUGGAAUUCCAUUUCUCGAAGAGUCUAAUUUGUUGGUGCUGGUGAUUUUUCCAGGUACCUCCGAUCAGUAGUUCAGAACUUGUUACUAAUUCAGCGCUUCAAGAAACCUAUUACUGAACAUUCACCCAGGCAAGAACGGCUUAACUUCUGGUUGGAUAUAAUUUUUGAGGCAACAAAUGAAGUUACUAAUGGACUCAGAUUUCCAGUGCUGGUGAUAGAACCAACCAAAGUCUACCAGCCUUCAUAUGUCUCCAUAAACAACGAAGCUGAGGAGAAGAUGGUUUCUCUGUGGCAUGUCUCACCCGCGGAAAUG